UGUUAGGCUCCAAGGAAAUGGGGCUGGAGGCAUGGAUUUGUACUGAUAAUCUCCUCAGAGAACUCAAGUUAUGGAUAAAGAAUGUUUAUGGAGCCUCCAGAAUAGCAGUGUUUUAUUAUUUGAAGAUUUUCAUAAGAUCAAUUAAUACACCUUUAGUUUCAUUACAUGAUUGGCUACCAGCGAUGUCUUUGGUGUGAGAUAUAACUGACCUGUGAAAGAAAAACCUUCUACACCAUGUCAACAUUGAAAAUUGUUUGCAAACAUCAGUUGGAAACCUGCCUACAUGCUGCUAUUCGAACCUGGAGCAGGGACAUCUGUGGUUUGGAAUUGGGCUCAUUAAACACCUACCAGCUUCCAAAGGAAAAAAAAUACUCUGGAUAAAUCUUAAAAUGCUUCCCAUCCUGCAAUGAGGUGAUUCCACAGACCAUGGAAAAGAGCUCCACUAAUAAACUCUCACUGUUACGGAAGCAAAUAUUGGGACUUCUUGAAAGGAAUAUCUAGCAGUUGCAUUAUCCAGCAUUGCAUCAUCAGCUGUUAAGUAGAGUGAAUAAUAAAAAUAA